GGCCUUGCUCUUAUGUCAUCUGACUAAAGGUUUCAUAGACCAAAAAUAACCAUCCAACCUGUUGGAAUACUGAAACAAUUGCUGCCUGCUUUCCACACACUACAUAAAAUAUGUGGAUAUCCUAAAUUCUACAAAAAAAGAUUUGUAAGCAAAUCAAGCAAUACUGGGACUCCCUCUUCUCCAGAAGAGACAUCCUGGCCUCCAUGCAGAAGAAUGUGUGGAUGGACAUAUAUUUAAGGAAGACACUAAACCAGAAAAUACUACAUUACACCCUCUUAAAAGACUUCUAAGAUUGUUGUCAUGCCUACCACUGACAUUCAGAUGAUGUGUAUUCUUGAUUGUGAUUUCAUGUUUGGAGCUGAUGAAGGAGUUUGAAGUCUCCAGAGCAGCAAGGAGAGUGGGGAGUAGAACUCAUCAUCUUUAGGUCACUCAUCCCCG
rnacentral:lncRNA from 1 species